rnacentral:lncRNA from 10 species
GAGAAACUACGUAUUGAGUAUGCAUGAUCUGUGUGCCCGGAUGUCAUCUUUACCUGCUUUGUUCUGUGUCUUGUCAAAGAGGAUUGCUUUGGGGAGCAGUGUGUCUGUACACUCUGGAUGAACCCCUCUGAAGCAGGAGAGCCAGCACACUGGACCCAGCUGAUUCUAAGGAGCAGAGUGGAUGGCCCGUUACACCUAGAACCCUUGGCAUCCAAAUUGUCAGCAACUCAUCGGCUAGUGUUUCUUUCUUGAAGGGCGAAGUCUCAAUCCUCAGAUGUUCUAAGAGCUGAGGCAACUGAAGUUCAGAGAAGUUUGGUCAUUUGCCCAGGACCACACAGCUAGUAAGUAAUAGAAUUGAAUAGUGCUCUCUCACUCUCUCUCUCUCAAGUCAGGGUUUUCAGUUUUGAUCAAUAGUGGACAUAAAUUUCAGCAUUGAGAAUGAUUAUGUCUUGUUUAGUUGCUUUAGCUACAUGAUGGAAAGACUGACCACAGUCUACCUCCUAGAGUUCCCAGAAGUAAAUGGGAUUAUGCAUGUGACUGUGAUCUGAGCACAGAGGUACCUAUACUAGGCAAAAAUAAGGUAUUCAUUUUAUAAUGGUAGUUUUGUAUUAAUAGCUUCCAAUUCCAUAACUAGCCUAGGAUGCAUGUUUUAAGAGAUGCAUGUUUUAAUACUUUUAGUGAUGCAAUAAUGGAAUCUUGAAAUACAUUUGCAGAAUCAGUGCUGUGGCCCCAAAGGGAAGCAAAGCAACCUAGUUUUAUGGUUCAUCUAAGGACCAAGAUGAAGUAGUUUUGCAAGAAGUCCUCCUUUUGCCAUUAGCUCUCGUUAGCUGAAUUUAAAUUUCAGUAGUGAUAAUACACAAUUCUUCAACUACAUAUAGAUUCUGUUUCUAUAAAAGGAAAAAAAAAAAAUCCGUAAAUGUAAUCAUUUCUCCCUUGUCAGCUAAUGUAACAUAGUAGUAACUAUAAAACAGUUUUCUUUAGGUGCUUUUGUGUGAUUUAUUCCUCCUGGCAUGGAUGGGGAUAUGAGCAGCAUUUUGUUUCAAUAGAGCUUUUCUGUAGCUUUUAACCAGUUACAAAGGGCGUCUGUCUAUACCUGGACACAAUCCUGCAAUAGAAAUGAAACAGGCUUUUAAGGAUUGAAAAAAAGGAAAAUAGAAGGCCGGGGCAAAUUGUCGUUUCAUCGUUUUGUGAAGCAAAUAUUAUAUAUCUGGGAAAAAGAUUUUUUAAAAGUAUAUAAUUUAGGAGUGUCUAAAGGUGUUUUGUUAGGUCAAUUGUGUAUCAGAAGUAUAAAAGGAAGGGCUUAUGGAUCUUUAAAUGUCCCCUAGAUAAGUGAGCUUAAUCUAUUUCAAAUUAUACUUCCCACUCUCUGAUCUGAGACAAGGGCUUUCUGUCUUGCUUUCAGUAUUUAAAAUCUGAAAUAAUAUAGACUCGACUACCCAGGGAGCUGCCUCUUGGCCUGGUGCUUUGUCACCACAAUUGAGAUGGGCAGGUUGGAAGCAGCGGCGUGCUCACAAAAGUGGGAGGUAGUGUUGUCUGCCUUUUUUCCAGAGGCUGGCUGGCACAGUACUCCCCUUGAGUUUCUGCCAAGGCACAUCACUAAGUAAGAAGGAGGUAAAAUAAGGAUAAGAUUUAACUGCUUCUUUCCAGGGAAGCUUGGAGACAGUAUCACUUCCUUUUUUUAAAGUUGGAGGCAGUUUUAUUUGUUUGGGUAAAUCCCGUGGGAAAUGAAUAAGUAAAGUUAUCAACUGACGUGCUUCAGAGGCUGAAAAUAGAUCCCAGAACAUGAUUUCCUUUUUAUUUAUCAACCAUAUAUAUUUAUUCCUGGUUUUCUU